CCCUUAGAUGUCCUGGGCCGCACGCGCGCUACACUGAGUGUCUGAGAUACGAGUCUGCCUGGUCCGGCAAGGUCUAGGUAAUCGCUAAAAGACACAUCAUGCUUGGGAUAGAUUAUUGCAAAUAUUAAUCUUGAACGAGGAAUUCCUAGUAAGCGCAAGUCAACAGCUUGCGUUGAUUACGUCCCUGCCCUUUGUACACACCGCCCGUCGCUACUACCGAUUGAAUGGUUUAGUGAGACCCUCGGAUUCGUCCCAACACAGUGGGUUUCUGCUGAGCUGGUGCGCGGAGAAGACGGUCGAACUUGAUCAUUUAGAGGAAGUAAAAGUCGUAACA
rnacentral:rRNA from 1 species